rnacentral:tRNA from 1 species
GCCUGGGUGGCUCAGUCGGUUAAGCGUCUGACUUCGGCUCAGGUCAUGAUCUCACGGUCUGUGGGUUCAAGCCCCGCGUCGGGCU